CCCGCUGAACUUAAGCAUAUCAUUCAGCGGAGGAAAAGAAACCAACAGGGAUUGCCUCAGUAACGGCGAGUGAAGCGGCAAGAGCUCAGAUUUGAAAUCGGCCGACCGGCUGAGUUGUAAUCUGCAGAGGAAAGUUCGGCAGAGGUUCUGGCUAAAGUCUUCUGGAAGGAAGCGCCGCAGAGGGUGAGAGCCCCGUCUAGCCGCGUCCAACGCCAUGUGAACGUCCUUCAAAGAGUCGAGUUGUUUGGGAAUGCAGCUCAAAAUGGGUGGUAAAUUUCAUCUAAAGCUAAAUAUAAGUCAAAGACCGAUAGCGCACAAGUAGAGUGAUCGAACGAUGAAAAGCACUUUGGAAAGAGAGUGAAACAGUACGUGAAAUUGUUGAAAGGGAAGCGCUUAUGGCCAGAUUUGCUGCAGUCGCUCAGCUGUUCUUUGAGCAGUGCACUCGACUGCGGCAGGCCAGCAUCGGUUUGGGCGGCUGGAUAAAGGCUUGAGAAAUGUGGCCUUGGUGUUAUAGUCUCUUGCACAAUACAGCCAGCCUGGACCGAGGACAGCGUUCGCUAGGAUGCUGGCGUAAUGGUCAUUAGCGACCCGUCUUGAAACACGG
rnacentral:rRNA from 1 species